rnacentral:misc_RNA from 1 species
CUUUUGGAGUUUAUGUAAACUCUUCCUUCAAAUAACCAGGCCCAGGCUUGAAAGGGUCAGAUUCCUCAUAUGCAUCUUUACGGUAAAACCCAGCAUCAUUCAUGCGGUUAGUAAGUACAUGAAGGAUUGCCUUUUUCUUACCUCCAUACUCAUCUCUGUUGCUCUCAAUAUAUUCUUUGGCCUCAGCUGCUACCUCGUUCACAAAAUCAAACCGGUUAUCUUCUGAUAGCAGUAGUCUCUCAAUAUCCAUUGUCAAUAGCUCUCCCGCCUCUCGUACCUUCCUAACCUGCUCCUCCAGGAAUGGAAUUCGCCCCAAUUUAUAAUGCAACAUGUCAUCCUUCUUCAUCAAUUUUCUCCCGCGCCAAACUCGCCGACCACUUCCAUUGCUUUGCCGUUGCAUAACCACCUGCGACUUCUUGGGAGGAAAAAAAAUUGAUUGAGGAAAAGAACGGCUUAGGUUUGAAAUUGAAGAGAAACCAAACUGUGGAGUAGAUAUAGCCAUGGCGCUUGUUGAUUGAUAGGAAAUUUCCAAUGGCCCGAAUUGACGUGCCGCUAUUGCGGUGGACGGUGGGAAUUCUGCGGGCUCAGUGAGAGCCAAAGAGCCCAAAAAUUGGAGAGGCUUAUGGUCUCCUUCCAGUUCGCCCCUCUAGUUCUUGAUAGGAUAUCGCACGGAGACGGCAAAGACCCUCGAACGUAAAAACUGAAAACCUGCCACUGCUCGUCC